rnacentral:rRNA from 1 species
GAGGAUGCGAGCGUUAUCCGGAUUUAUUGGGUUUAAAGGGUGCGCAGGCGGAAAGGAAAGUCAGUUGUGAAAGUUUGCGGCUCAACCGUAAAAUUGCAGUUGAUACUGGGUUCCUUGAGUGCGGCAGAGGCAGGCGGAAUUCGUGGUGUAGCGGUGAAAUGCUUAGAUAUCACGAAGAACUCCGAUCGCGAAGGCAGCUUGCCGGACCGUAACUGACGCUGAUGCUCGAAAGUGCGGGUAUC